rnacentral:lncRNA from 1 species
UGGAUAGCUCGGUCCCCACUCUCAUGGACCUUUCUGAACAGCAGUGGCCAAGUCAUCAUCGUCACGGGGCUACGCGGCACAGGAAGGAGACACUCUAGGCAUGUAGCCCAGGCCCGGACCUGGACUGUAGGGGGGCAGCGGUGGCCAGGCCUACUUCUAGAAGGGAGGUAGGAAGUGAUUAGUUAGGGGAAAGAGGAGGUCACUGGCUGUUCUUUCUAGAAGACCUAGAAGACGUCGGGAGAACUGAAUGACUCCAAAGCCACAUCCCUGCCUAUAUUGUGGAUUAAACUCCGGGACUUCUGCUCUACCAUCGAAGACCAGAAGUUUCCUUUACCACUCCUCUAGGCCUGGUUAGCAGGCGCCAUGGUUAACUUUGAUGGUAACUUAACUGGUCUGGAAGCAUCUCUGAAGGAACUAGAAGAGAUGGCUCAGCGGUUAAGAGCACUUGCUCUCUUCCAGAGAACCUGUAUUCGAUUCCCAGCACCCACAGGGUAGCUCACAACUGUCUGUAACUCAGUUCCAGGGGUCUGACACUCACUUCUGGCCUCUCUGGGCGCCAGGCACACAGAUGGUUCAUAUACAGAUAACGGUGCACAGACAUAUAUGUAGGCAAAACACCCAUACUCAUAAACAUUAAUUUUUUAAAAACUACCUAAGAGGCUAGCACAACACACCUGGGGUACAGGGUAUAUAUUCCACAGCCAUGAGUACACGAGGGCGGACCUGAGAGAUG